GACCGGUGGUGAACAUGAUGGAUUCGGUGCCGGUCACCGCGACGGGAGGGUCGAUGAACCCGUCGCAGCAGCAGCACCAGCAACAACAGCAACAGCAGGCGCAGAAGAAGGGCGUCUCGUUCGAGUUCUCGACGUCGCCGGAUCUGGAGACCGGAUUCGAGCCGCAGACCCGCGCGCGGUCCAACACAUGGCCGCUACCGCGGCCGGAGGGCUAUGUGGAGGGUAACGCGCCGGCCGCGAAGGAGGGCGCCGAGGGCGGCACGCCGCCCCAUCAGGCGCAGCUCGCCCAGGGCCUGCUGCCGGUGAAGAAGAACUCGUCGAGGAGGAACGCCUGGGGCAACCUGAGCUACGCCGACCUGAUCACCCAGGCGAUCACCAGCGCGCCCGACCAGCGGCUCACCCUCUCGCAGAUCUACGAGUGGAUGGUCCAGAACGUGUCCUACUUCAAAGACAAGGGCGACAACAACAGCAGCGCCGGUUGGAAGAAUUCUAUACGUCACAACUUGUCGCUGCACAGUAGGUUCAUGCGAGUACAGAACGAAGGUACCGGCAAGAGUUCCUGGUGGAUGAUCAAUCGCGACGCGAAGCCGGGCAAAUCCGCCCGUCGCAGAGCCACUACUAUGGAGAGCACCGGAAGUCUAGAGAAACGACGCGGCCGUUCGAAGAAGAUCGCCGACGCUCUGAGGAACGGUGGGCUGCUAGCUGAGCCCACGUCCAGUCCCAGCAGCAGCGUCGGAGAGGGUCUGGACCUGUUCCCCGACAGCCCCCUGCCGCCCGCUAGCGGAUUCCAGCUCUCCUCUGACUUCCGUCCUCGCGCCUCAAGUAAUGCAUCUUCCUGUGGCCGAUUGAGUCCUAUCCCAGCGGUUAUCGGAGAACCAGAUUGGACACCGACCUACUCUUCUUACAGCCCGGAACAGCAACUAGCAGAUUCGAUGCUAGCAGGCAACUUGGCUGAGACGAUGAAACUGGAACCCUACCAAAUAUACCAGACAUCACCGCCGGCCAGUCACCAGCAACAAACGGGCCCACCGCCGCCUUACUACGAAGCACAGUACCAGAGGAACAACGGCCUACGCACCUCGUCAUCCGCAUCCUAUGGCCUGCCACCUACUCCGCAGUCGGCCAAUCAGCAAAGAUGUCCGAUUCACGGUCUGCAACCGUGCGCCUGUCAGAUGAACCUGAGUCCCGGCAUGUCACCGUCCGGUAUGUCACCGUCGUAUCAGCAAAGUGAGCCCAGUCCUACGACAUUGGGUAGCAGUCAACAGCAAACGCUGCAAUAUAUGAUUCAGACGCAACAGCGUCAACAGCAGCAGCAACAACAGCAACAGCAGCAGCCGCCACAUCAGCCGCAGCAUCAGCCGGCACAAACUGGACCAGCUGGUCCUAGCCCGCCCAACACGCCCACACCCUGCCCCGCCACGGGGGCCAGCACGAUGAUGGGUCAGCUGAUGGGUGCGCUUAACCAUUCCACCCUUGAUGACCUCAAUAUCAGCAUCGAGGCGAUGCACGGCGGCUUCGACUGCAACGUCGAGGAACAAGGAGUAAUGGGCACCGUGCAGGUCAGCGACGGCAAUGUCGUUGGUCAGAAUGGCGGCGUCGUCUCUCAGAACACGGGCGUCGUCAUCGGCACGACGACCGGUAACGCGCCGGGUGUCUACGUAAGCACGAAUGCGGCAACCCCCGCCGCGACCCCCUCGUGGGUUCACUAGCAGUUAACCCCCCUGCCCUCGACACCCCCGUCGUCCUUGCCGAUGCCACUGUUGUCCGACGGAUCGCUGGAUAACUACUGCGGGACGACCGAAGGGCAGCUCAUCGAUAUUCGGCAUGCGGAGGACGAAAGGGUGAACCGACGACUUGUGAUAAGAUAUAGACAUAAUGAUGCCAGAUCACGACGAAAUACGUACUUCAAAAAUGCCAAUUUACGCUAGUGCAAUUGCGGUGCGAGAAAUUAUCGCCGCGAGCGCGAUCAACGUCGGCGAGGGCUUCAUCAUUGCUUCAUCAAACGUCUUCAGCUUCUUUAACAAUGAGCCGCUGCUCAAAAUAGGCCGGAGAUGCUGGCGACGAGGUUACAAACUCACGGACUUAAGAAAACUUUCGUAACGUAUAACUAAAUUAAAUUUUAGUGAAAUAUUGUAAAAUAUUAUUUCUUCCGUUAGUUAUUUUUCUUUAUGAUUGGCGAUUCACGAAAAAUAAUAGAAAGUAUUUGUUUGUUGAAAUAAAUACCUUCCUUUUUCACAAUAUCAAUCUAUCUGUUUUAGAUUGAUUAUAUUUUAUUUUCUUAUUUUCUUUGCAGAAAUUAUUUGUUAUUUGAUAAUUAAUCUUUAAAUUCCGGACGAAGUGAUAUCGAGAAAACCUAAUAUUAUUUAUUAGAAAUUAUUAGGUCUUCACUUUUAAUUAAGAAUCAUAAAAUAUAAAUUGUUAUAUUUAUACAUUUAAAAAAUUAUUACAAAUUAUGUUAUAAUAUAUUU
rnacentral:misc_RNA from 1 species